rnacentral:rRNA from 1 species
AGUGAACGCUGGCGGUAGGCCUAACACAUGCAAGUCGAACGGCAGCACAGUAAGAGCUUGCUCUUACGGGUGGCGAGUGGCGGACGGGUGAGGAAUACAUCGGAAUCUACUUUUUCGUGGGGGAUAACGUAGGGAAACUUACGCUAAUACCGCAUACGACCUACGGGUGAAAGCAGGGGAUCUUCGGACCUUGCGCGAUUGAAUGAGCCGAUGUCGGAUUAGCUAGUUGGCGGGGUAAAGGCCCACCAAGGCGACGAUCCGUAGCUGGUCUGAGAGGAUGAUCAGCCACACUGGAACUGAGACACGGUCCAGACUCCUACGGGAGGCAGCAGGGGGGAAUAUUGGACAAUGGGCGCAAGCCUGUUCCAGCCAUACCGCGUGGGUGAAGAAGGCCUUCGGGUUGUAAAGCCCUUUUGUUGGGAAAGAAAAGCAGCAGGUUAAGACCCCGCUGUUCUGACGGUACCCAAAGAAUAAGCACCGGCUAACUUCGU